rnacentral:rRNA from 1 species
AUACGGAGGGUGCGAGCGUUAAUCGGAAUUACUGGGCGUAAAGCGCGCGUAGGUGGUUAAUUAAGUCAGAUGUGAAAGCCCAGGGCUCAACCUUGGAACUGCAAUUGAAACUGAUUGACUAGAGUUUUGUAGAGGGUGGUAGAAUUUCAGGUGUAGCGGUGAAAUGCGUAGAGAUCUGAAGGAAUACCAGUGGCGAAGGCGGCCACCUGGACAAAGACUGACACUGAGGCGCGAAGGCGUGGGGAGCAAACGGGAUUAGAAACCCUUGUAGUCC